rnacentral:misc_RNA from 1 species
GAGAAGGAGAAGAGGAAGAAAGAAGAGGAAGAGGAGGAGGAGGAGGUAAAGAAGAAGAAGAAGAAGAAGAAGGAGAAGGAAGACAAGAAGGAUAUGGAAGAAAAUGUUGAAAAACAACAACAACAACAACAACAGCACUGCAACUUUUUCAAAACUCUAAGGAAACUAACAUUUAGAGCCCCAAAAACCACCACCACCAGUAGUAGUAGUAGUAGUAGUAGUAGUAGUAGUAGUAGUAGUAGUGUGAGAACGAAGCGAUUGAUGAGAGAAUUUAAAGUUAUAAGUAGAAAUAUGAACAAAUCUUUCAGUGUCCAUCUCGUGAGUGACUGCCUGGAUGAGUGGCUGGUCAGCCUUCACCAAAUAGCGGAAGAUUCAUUACUUCACCGAGAUAUGCAAGAAUUGGGUAUUUCUUCGAUCUCUCUCUCUUUAAGCUUUCCUGACAAUUUUCCCUUCCAUCCGCCUUUCCUCAGAGUCCUCGCGCCCAGGCUGGAAAAGGGGUUUGUGAUGGAGGGCGGGGCGAUAUGCAUGGAGCUGCUCACGCCGAAGGGAUGGGCGUCCGCUUACACUGUGGAGGCGAUCAUCAUGCAGUUUGCGGCCAGUCUUAUAAAGGGGCAAGGUCGUAUCAGCAGGCAGGGUGGCAAGGCGGGGACCAGCCACGCGUUCUCCAAGAUGUCAGCAGAGCAGUCCUUCAAAUCACUGGUCAAAACUCACGAUAAACACGGCUGGCUCACUCCACCACUGUCUGAAGGCUGACUGGCUGGUCGUAGGAGGCUCGUAAGGGCUCGUGGGGGGUCGUAAGGGGUCGUUGGGACAUUCACGAGGCAUUGGGGACGUGUGAGAGAGAGAGAAAGAGAGAAAGAGCUGGCUGGGUGGUCGUGGGGGGUCGUUUGAGGUAGUAGGAGGGUCGUAAGGGGUCGUUGGGACAUUCACGAGGCAUUGGGACGUGUGAGAGAGAGAGAAAGAGAGAAAGAGCUGGCUGGGUGGUCGUGGGUGUUCGUAGGGGGUCGUAGGGGGUCGUUGGGACAUUCACGAGGCAUUGGGGACGUGUGAGAGAGAGAGAAAGAGAGAAAGAGCUGGCUGGAUGGUCGUGGGGGGUCGUUUGAGG